rnacentral:rRNA from 1 species
GACGAACGCUGGCUGCGUGCUUAACACAUGCAAGUCGAACGCUGAAGCCUGGUGCUUGCACCGGGUGGAUGAGUGGCGAACGGGUGAGUAACACGUGAGUAACCUGCCCCUGACUUCGGGAUAAGCCCGGGAAACUGGGUCUAAUACCGGAUACGACUGCCGGACGCAUGUCUGGUGGUGGAAAGUUUUUUCGGUUGGGGAUGGGCUCGCGGCCUAUCAGUUUGUUGGUGAGGUAAUGGCUCACCAAGACGACGACGGGUAGCCGGCCUGAGAGGGCGACCGGCCACACUGGGACUGAGACACGGCCCGGACUCCUACGGGAGGCAGCAGUGGGGAAUAUUGCACAAUGGGGGAAACCCUGAUGCAGCGACGCAGCGUGCGGGAUGACGGCCUUCGGGUUGUAAACCGCUUUCAGCAGGGAAGAAGCGCAAGUGACGGUACCUGCAGAAGAAGUACCGGCUAACUACGUGCCAGCAGCCGCGGUAAUACGUAGGGUACGAGCGUUGUCCGGAAUUAUUGGGCGUAAAGAGCUCGUAGGUGGUUGGUCACGUCUGCUGUGGAAACGCAACGCUUAACGUUGCGCGUGCAGUGGGUACGGGCUGACUAGAGUGCAGUAGGGGAGUCUGGAAUUCCUGGUGUAGCGGUGAAAUGCGCAGAUAUCAGGAGGAACACCGGUGGCGAAGGCGGGACUCUGGGCUGUAACUGACACUGAGGAGCGAAAGCAUGGGGAGCGAACAGGAUUAGAUACCCUGGUAGUCCAUGCCGUAAACGUUGGGCACUAGGUGUGGGGGGCAUUCCACGUUCUCCGCGCCGUAGCUAACGCAUUAAGUGCCCCGCCUGGGGAGUACGGUCGCAAGGCUAAAACUCAAAGGAAUUGACGGGGGCCCGCACAAGCGGCGGAGCAUGCGGAUUAAUUCGAUGCAACGCGAAGAACCUUACCAAGGCUUGACAUACACCGGACCGUCCUGGAAACAGGUCUUCUUCUUUGAAGCUGGUGUACAGGUGGUGCAUGGUUGUCGUCAGCUCGUGUCGUGAGAUGUUGGGUUAAGUCCCGCAACGAGCGCAACCCUCGUUCUAUGUUGCCAGCACGUGAUGGUGGGAACUCAUAGGAGACUGCCGGGGUCAGCUCGGAGGAAGGUGGGGAUGACGUCAAAUCAUCAUGCCCUUUAUGUCUUGGGCUUCACGCAUGCUACAAUGGCUGGUACAGAGAGAGGCGAACCCGUGAGGGCAAGCGAAUCCCUUAAAGCCAGUCUCAGUUCGGAUCGUAGUCUGCAAUUCGACUACGUGAAGUCGGAGUCGCUAGUAAUCGCAGAUCAGCAACGCUGCGGUGAAUACGUUCCCGGGCCU